AUUGAACGCUGGCGGCAUGCUUUACACAUGCAAGUCGAACGGUAACAGGUCUUCGGAUGCUGACGAGUGGCGAACGGGUGAGUAAUGCAUCGGAACGUGCCCAGUCGUGGGGGAUAACGCAGCGAAAGCUGCGCUAAUACCGCAUACGAUCUAUGGAUGAAAGCGGGGGACCGUAAGGCCUCGCGCGAUUGGAGCGGCCGAUGUCAGAUUAGGUAGUUGGUGGGGUAAAGGCCCACCAAGCCAACGAUCUGUAGCUGGUCUGAGAGGACGACCAGCCACACCGGGACUGAGACACGGCCCAGACUCCUACGGGAGGCAGCAGUGGGGAAUUUUGGACAAUGGGCGCAAGCCUGAUCCAGCAAUGCCGCGUGCAGGAAGAAGGCCUUCGGGUUGUAAACUGCUUUUGUACGGAACGAAACGGCUCUCUCUAAUACAGAGGGCUAAUGACGGUACCGUAAGAAUAAGCACCGGCUAACUACGUGCCAGCAGCCGCAGUAA
rnacentral:rRNA from 1 species